CCUUGCUGCUGAGUUAGCCUGGCUCUUGAGCCUGGCUGAUAGAAACUCCCCCAACCCCCACAUGUCUCAAUGUUCAGGGUUGGGACAAACUGGUGUUUUCAUACUCACGGGCUAGCUCCAUUUGUCUGGCCACUUUUCUGAAUACUGUGUUGGCUACUGCACCUUUACAACAAGGCUGUCGAGGCUGAGCACUCAAUCUCAGCACUCAGAGGCAGAGGCAGGAAGAUCUCUGAGUUCAAAGCUAGCCAGAGCUAUACCAGUCUCCAUCCCUAGAGCUGGAAAAGCCAGAUCCUGUGUGCCUGGUUGGCCUUGUCAUCCUGCCACCAUCUUCUCUGAAGAACAGCCAUGAGGAAGUGGCUGCUGAAAGCAAGCAUGCUGCAGACCAGGCCUUUGCACACGGCACUGCCUCUCUCACAGGCAAGCAACUUAAGUUCUUACUGCCAAUGGGAAGCUGGAUCAUGCUGUCUGGAGCCGGCUGAGGCGAGGCACGUGAGCUCAGGUGGCACAUGUGCAGGGCCACUGUCAUUAUGGAAAUCAUGACUCUGAAGGCUAAUGCUGCAUCUAAAUGAGUUGAAACGAAAUGCAAAGAACACUUAGGUUCACCCUGGUUCAGCCCUGCAUCUCAUUACUGUGCUACUCUGCCUAUGUAUUAUGAAUUAAUAUAUUUAAUAAAUCCUGUAAUUAUCUUGUGAACAGCACACAAUUA